rnacentral:rRNA from 1 species
CUACGGGGGGCUCCAGUUGGGAAUAUUGGACAAUGGGGGAAACCCUGAUCCAGCGAUGCCGCGUGUGCGAUGAAGGCCUGUGGGUUGUAAAGCACUUUUAGUAGUGAAGAUAAUUUGUUAACUAAUAAUUAGCAAAGUAGACGUUAGCUAAAGAAAAAGCACCGGCAAACUCUGUGCCAGCAGCCGCGGUAAUACAGAGGGUGCGAGCGUUAAUCGGAAUGACUGGGCGUAAAGGGCGCGUAGGCGGUAGAUUAAGUUAGUUAUGAAAUCCCAAAGCUUAACUUUGGAACUUUAACUAAAACUAAUUUACUAGAGUACAAUAUAGGUAAGUGGAAUUUCCGGUGUAGCGGUAAAAUGCGUAGAUAUCGGAAGGAACACCAAAGGCGAAGGCAACUUACUGGGUUGUUACUGACGCUGAGGCGCGAAAGCGUGGGGAGCAAACAGGAUUAGAUACCCGUGUAGUC